UACGUAGGCAGCAAGCGUUGUUCGGAAUUACUUGGCGUAAAGAGUGUGUAGGCGGUGCUCCAAGUCUGGUGUGAAAUCUCCCGGCUUAACUGGGAGGGUGCAUUAGAAACUGGAAUGCUAGAGGAUGGGAGAGGUAAGCGGAAUUCCUGGUGUAGCGGUGAAAUGCGUAGAUAUCAGGAGGAACACCGGUGGCGAAGGCGGGUCUCUGGGCAGUAACUGACGCUGAGGAGCGAAAGCGUGGGGAGCGAACAGG
rnacentral:rRNA from 1 species